UACGGAGGAUGCGAGCGUUACCCGGAUUUAUUGGGUUUAAAGGGUGCGUAGGCGGGAUGCCAAGUCAGCGGUAAAAAUGCGGUGCUCAACGCCGUCGAGCCGUUGAAACUGGCGUUCUUGAGUGGGCGAGAAGUAUGCGGAAUGCGUGGUGUAGCGGUGAAAUGCAUAGAUAUCACGCAGAACUCCGAUUGCGAAGGCAGCAUACCGGCGCUCUACUGACGCUGAGGCACGAAAGCGUGGGUAUCGAACAGG
rnacentral:rRNA from 1 species